UUCCCCUAGUAACUGCGAGUGAAGCGGGAAAAGCUCAAAUUUGAAAUCUGGCGGUUUUUGACUGUCCGAGUUGUAAUCUAGAGAAGUGUUACCUGUGCUGGACCGUGUAAAAGUCUCCUGGAAUGGAGCAUCAUAGAGGGUGAGAAUCCCGUCUUUGACAUGGACAACCAGUGCGUCGUGGUGCGCUCUCAAAGAGUCGAGUUGUUUGGGAAUGCAGCUCAAAAUGGGUGGUAAAUGCCAUCUAAAGCUAAAUAUUGGCGAGAGACCGAUAGCGAACAAGUACCGUGAGGGAAAGAUGAAAAGCACUUUGGAAAGAGAGUUAAACAGUACGUGAAAUUGCUGAAAGGGAAACGCUUGAAGUCAGUCACGUCGGCUAGAAAUCAGCCUUGCUUCUGCUCGGUGUACUUUCUGGUUGACGGGUCAGCAUCAAUUUCGACCGCUGGACAAAGUCUUUGGGAAUGUGGCAUCCUCGGAUGUGUUAUAGCCCAUCGUCGCAUGCAGUGGUUGGGAUUGAGGAACUCAGCACGCCGCAAGGCCGGGUUUCGACCACGUUCGUGCUUAGGAUGCUGGCAUAAUGGCUUUAAUCGACCCGUCUUGAAACACGGACCAAGGAGUCUAACAUGCCUGCGAGUGUUUGGGUGGAAAACCCAUGCGCGCAAUGAAAGUGAAAGUUGAGAUCCCUGUAAAAAGGAGAGCAUUGACGCCCGGACCAGACCUUCUGUGAAGGAUCCGCGGUAGAGCAUGUAUGUUGGGACCCGAAAGAUGGUGAACUAUGCCUGAAUAGGGUGAAGCCAGAGGAAACUCUGGUGGAGGCUCGUAGCGAUUCUGACGUGCAAAUCGAUCGUCAAAUUUGGGUAUAGGGGCGAAAGACU
rnacentral:rRNA from 1 species